rnacentral:rRNA from 1 species
AUUGAACGCUGGCGGCAGGCCUAACACAUGCAAGUCGAACGAGUGGCGGACGGGUGAGUAAUGUCUGGGAAACUGCCUGAUGGAGGGGGAUAACUACUGGAAACGGUAGCUAAUACCGCAUACCAUCAGAUGUGACAAGAUGGGAUUAGCUAGUGGGGGGGGUAACGGCUCACAAAGGCGACGAUCCCUAGCUGGUCUGAGAGGGUGACCACCCACCUUGGAACUGGGACACGGUCCAAACUCCUACGGUAGGCAGCAGUGGGGAAUAUUGCACAAGGGGCGCAAUCCUGAUGCAGCCAUGCCGCUUGUAUGAAGAAGGCCUUCGGGUUGUAAAGUACUUUCAGCGGGGAGGCGUUACCCGCAGAAGAAGCACCGGCUAACUCCGUGCCAGCAGCCGCGGUAAUAC